CGGAGGAAGGUGGGGACGACGUCAAGUCAUCAUGGCCCUUACGAGUAGGGCUACACACGUGCUACAAUGGUCGGUACAGAGGGUUGCGAAGCCGCGAGGUGGAGCUAAUCUCACAAAGCCGGUCGUAGUCCGGAUNGGAGUCUGCAACUCGACUCCAUGAAGUCGGAAUCGCUAGUAAUCGUAGAUCAGAAUGCUACGGUGAAUACGUUCCCGGGCCUUGUACACACCG
rnacentral:rRNA from 1 species